AGGGUUUUUCAUGGAGUUCG
rnacentral:miRNA from 1 species